AUUGAACGCUGGCGGCGGGCCUAACACAUGCAAGUCGAGCGAGCGGCGGACGGGUGGGUAAUGUAUGGGGACUGCCUGAUAGAGGGGGCUAACUACUGGAAACGGUGGCUACUACCGCAUACUAGCGGAUAUCCCAUAGGGGAUUAGCUAGUAGGUGGGGUAAAGGCUCACCUGGGCGACGAUCUCUAGCUGGUCUGAGAGGAUGAUAAGCCACACUGGGACUGAGACACGGCCCAGACUCCUACGGAGGCAGCAGUGGGGAAUAUUGCACAAUGGGCGCAAGCCUGAUGCAGCCAUGCCGCGUGUAUGAAGAAGGCCUUAGGGUUGUAAAGUACUUUCAGCGGGGAGGCGUUACCCGCAGAAGAAGCACCGGCUAACUCCGUGCCAGCAGCCGCGGUAAUUC
rnacentral:rRNA from 1 species